rnacentral:tRNA from 1 species
GGUUAUGGCUCAGUGGUACAGCGCUUGCCUCACAUGUAUAAAGCCCUGGGUUCAAUCCUCAGCACCA